GGGGAUGUAGUUCAGUGGUAGAAUGCUUGCCUAGCAUGCAGGAGGUCCUGGGUGGCAUCCCUA
rfam:Ictidomys tridecemlineatus contig088012, whole genome shotgun sequence.